rnacentral:rRNA from 1 species
GAUGAACGCUGGCGGCGUGCCUAAUACAUGCAAGUCGAGCGAACAGACGAGGAGCUUGCUCCUCUGACGUUAGCGGCGGACGGGUGAGUAACACGUGGAUAACCUACCUAUAAGACUGGGAUAAUUUCGGGAAACCGGAGCUAAUACCGGAGAAUAUAUUGAACCGCAUGGUUCAAUAGUGAAAGACGGUUUUGCUGUCACUUCUAGAUGGAUCCGCGCCGGAUUAGCUAGUUGGUAAGGUAACGGCUUACCAAGGCAACGAUGCGUAGCCGACCUGAGAGGGUGAUCGGCCACACUGGAACUGAGACACGGUCCAGACUCCUACGGGAGGCAGCAGUAGGGAAUCUUCCGCAAUGGGCGAAAGCCUGACGGAGCAACGCCGCGUGAGUGAUGAAGGUCUUCGGAUCGUAAAACUCUGUUAUUAGGGAAGAACAAAUGUGUAAGUAACUAUGCACGUCUUGACGGUACCUAAUCAGAAAGCCACGGCUAACUACGUG